GGAACGGUAGUUAAGUCGGUUUAUAACGCCGGCCUGUCACGCCGGAGGCCGUGGGUUCGAGCCCCAUCCGUUCCGCCA
rnacentral:tRNA from 1 species